UCCUUGGUUUUGUCUGCUUAGCUAGCCUG
rnacentral:piRNA from 1 species